GGGGGAAGGGGAGGAGGAAUCCCUCAGAACCAGGGGCGGGUUGAACCAUUGUCCCGGCCUCUAGUCCCAUUCUGACAUGAUGGAUGUGGCGGUGUGCUCUGCGCAGCCCAUCCGGUAUCUCACUAAGAACUGGGAGGUGGACAUGGUGGCACAGCUGGGCGAGUAUCUGGAGGAGGUGGACCAGAUCUGCAUUUCUUUUGAUGAAGGCAAAACCACAGUGAACUUCACUGAGGCAGCACUAUUGAUCCAGGGCUCAGUCUAUGUCUAUAGUUAAAAGGUGGAGUACCUCGCUGGUCUACCAGGCUCUAGAUUUUAUUUCUGGCAAGAGGCAACCCAAGCAACUCUAUUCAAUGCAGGAAAUUGGGAGCAACAGGACUGUCAACUCAGGGACUCCCUGUGGGACAUAGGGUGAGUUCCUGCCACUGGACCACAUCUCUGACUGCUGGGCUAAUGUGGAUCCAAAAAAUGACCAGGCAUCCAGUGAGCUCAUGGCCCUGGUGGCCCCUGAUGAAGUGGGAAAGAACAUGUGCCCCUUGUAUAGCUGUCAGGGUGAGGGUUUGGCCAGCCGGAAGGAUUUCAGGAUGAACACAUGUACCGUCAACUCCAGAGGCUCCUCUGUGUUAGAUCCUGUGGGGCCUGUGGGGCCAUACCCAUGUCAAGGAGCCAGAAAGAUCCUGAGGACACUGAGGAGCAGCCAAUAGAAGUGUCUAGGAAUGGGAGUCCUGCUCCUGUACUCAGCGUCUCCCAAGAGCCAGAUGGUCCUGCGCUCAGCGGUGGAGAUGAGGAUGCAGAGGAUGAAGCAGAGCUCCUGGAGGUUGCUCUAGAGCCUGCAGAGCCUGGGACCUCACAGCAGAGUGCCAUCUUGCCAAGGAGAUACAUGCUAUGGGAAUGACAAGGGGCACUGGAACCUGCUUCCCGGCUCCACGAGACCCCAGACCCCUGGCAGAGCCUGGACCAUUUUGACUCCUUGGACUCUAAGCCCUUCAAGAAAGGUAAACCCUAUUCUGUGCCACCUGGUGUGGAGGAGGCUCCAGGACAGAAGUGCAAGAGGAAGGAUGCCACCGAGUUGCAGGACUUCCAUCAGUGGUACCUGAAUGUCUAUGUUAAACACACUGAUGGCAGGAGGGCUUGGCAGAAGGGCCCCACCUUUGCAGACAUGGAUAUUCUGUACUGGGAACAUGAAAAAGAAUGGCUGGAGACCCUUCAGAAGCUGCGGAGAUGUAAGAUAAUGGAGAGAUGGAAGGAUCUGUGGCUUACAGAUGAGGAUCGCUUGGAAGAGUCCCUAGAAGACCCAGGGGUGGCAGAUGACUUUCUAGAGCCCAAAGAAUAUGCAGAGGAACCUGAAGGGGAGAUACCUGGGGAAACUGCUGACCAUGCCAGCGCCCCUGAGAUACAAGGAGCUGGUCAAAAGAAAUGUGGAACUCUUCAUUGCAAGCUCCCGGAAGUUAAUCCAGGAGACAGAGCUGAGCCAACGCAUCAGGGAUUGGGAAGAUAAGAUUCAGCCACUGCUCCAUGAGGCAUGCUACUUGGGAACUAGAGCCUGGGCUUCGUCUAGACCUGUCUCUCCACUUGAAGCUAACAUGUCCUUUCCCUCUGCAGGAGCAGCAUGUGCCAUUUGAUAUCCAUACCUAUGGGAACCAGUUGGCUUCACGGUUCCCCCAGCUCAAUGAAUGGUGUCCCUUUUCAGAGCUUUUAGCUGGGCAGCCUGCUUUUGAGGUGUGCCGCUCCAUGCUGGCCACCUUGCAACUGAUAAGUGGCCUGGCAUACAAGGGAUAGGGCAAUGGCUGGACUCUGCUGACGCCUUGUUUCCACAGACUAAUGACUAUACAGAUCACUCAGCAGCCAGGACUGGGGGCAGCAGUGGACACAAUGUCUCUGAGAGUGCUCACACACCAGCAAGCCCAUACCUGCUUCCAGACCUAUACAGCCCCUUCCAUGGCCCAGCCCAGCCUUGAGUGGAGAGCAGCGAGGCAGGGGUGGAAGGUAGUAUAUAUCUGUAAGUUUUUGCCCCUAUGGGGCUAUUCACUCCAGUGCUGCCUCCUGGCUGGCCUAGCUUAAUAAAGUGUUGCUACCUCCCCACC